ACGGAAGGCAGCAGUGGGGAAUAUUGCACAAUGGAGGAAACUCUGAUGCAGCAACGCCGCGUGACUGAAGAAGUAUUUCGGUAUGUAAAGGUCUAUCAGCAAGGAAGAAACAAGACGGUACUUGACUAAGAAGCCCCGGCUAACUACGUGCCAGCAGCCGCGGUAAUACGUAGGGGGCAAGCGUUAUCCGGAUUUACUGGGUGUAAAGGGAGUGUAGGUGGCAAUACAAGUCAGAAGUGAAAGCCCGGGGCUCAACCCCGGGACUGCUUUUGAAACUGUAUAGCUAGAGUACAGGAGAGGCAAGUGGAAUUCCUAGUGUAGCGGUGAAAUGCGUAGAUAUUAGGAGGAACACCAGUGGCGAAGGCGGCUUGCUGGACUGUAACUGACACUGAGGCUCGAAAGCGUGGGGAGCAAACAGGAUUAGAUACCCUGGUA
rnacentral:rRNA from 1 species